GACGAACGCUGGCGGCGUGCUUAACACAUGCAAGUCGAACGAGUGGCGAACGGGUGAGUAAUGUCUGGGAAACUGCCUGAUGGAGGGGGAUAACUACUGGAAACGGUAGCUAAUACCGCAUACCAUCAGAUGUGCCCAGAUGGGAUUAGAUAGUAGGUGGGGUAACGGCUCACCUAGGCGACGAUCCCUAGCGGGUCUGAGAGGAUGACCAGCCACACUGGAACUGAGACACGGUCCAGACUCCUACGGGAGGCAGCAGUGGGGAAUAUGGCACAAUGGGCGCAAGCCUGAUGCAGCCAGGCCGCGUGUAUGAAGAAGGCCUGCGGGUUGUAAAGUACUUUCAGCGGGGAGGCGUUACCCGCAGAAGAAGCACCGGCUAACUCCGUGCCAGCAGCCGCGGUAAUAC
rnacentral:rRNA from 1 species